AGCGAACGCUGGCGGCAGGCUUAACACAUGCAAGUCGAACGGGCAUAGCAAUAUGUCAGUGGCAGACGGGUGAGUAACGCGGGGGAACGUACCUUUUGGUUCGGAACAACACAGGGAAACUUGUGCUAAUACCGGAUAAGCCCUUACGGGGAAAGAUUUAUCGCCGAAAGAUCGGCCCGCGUCUGAUUAGCUAGUUGGUAGGGUAAUGGCCUACCAAGGCGACGAUCAGUAGCUGGUCUGAGAGGAUGAUCAGCCACAUUGGGACUGAGACACGGCCCAAACUCCUACGGGAGGCAGCAGUGGGGAAUAUUGGACAAUGGGCGAAAGCCUGAUCCAGCCAGGCCGCGUGAGUGAUGAAGGCCCUAGGGUUGUAAAGCUCUUUUGUGCGGGAAGAUAAUGACGGUACCGCAAGAAUAAGCCCCGGCUAACUUCGUG
rnacentral:rRNA from 1 species